rnacentral:rRNA from 1 species
GACGAACGCUGGCGGCGUGCUUAACACAUGCAAGUCGAACGGUGAAGCCUUCGGGUGGAUCAGUGGCGAACGGGUGAGUAACACGUGAGCAAUCUGCCCUUGACUCUGGGAUAACUUCGGGAAACCGGAGCUAAUACCGGAUAUGACAUCUGGCCGCAUGGUCUGGGUGUGGAAAGAUUUAUCGGUCAAGGAUGAGCUCGCGGCCUAUCAGCUUGUUGGUGGG